GUCAAGUAGUUUUAUUUUGUUUUAUCACCUUUUCAGGGUUUCGUGAAGUCAGGAGUUGGGGCUCCUCUUUGUUUUUUGUUCUGCUUAGUAGAUUUGUUUUUGGGGUUCGCAUUAUCUUUUAUGGAGAUGGAUAGGUAUUUCCUCGUUGCCUUACUUAGUAUACUUCUUGCAUAACAAAGAAACCAAGGAGAAAAUAAAUUGAGAUUGACUACCAGGGAGUGAUUGGUAAUGCUAAUUCAGGGAUUGAUGUUCGUCUACCCUCUGACAAACUAUUAUACAAUCAAUUAAAUAUGAACUAUGAUUAUGAGUUGUGCCUCUCCAUUGCAAUUAGGGUGUGCUCUGGAGUUUCUCCCUUGCAUGAACACAACAUGUGUCAUGUUGGCAGGUACUUGAUGACACUGAUACUUGGACAUUCAUACAUGUUAAAUUGUUAUUCCUGUAUUUAGUUGCUCCCAAACUUUGUUGUACUAAAAGAAAUAUCUUACACUCAUUUUUAGGAGUGAAUGGGGUCGUCGAGGUUAACCUAUGUCCAAUUAUUUACCUUUUCAUCUCUGCUUUUGGCUGAUAAGCUGCUGGAAUUUUGGCCCUUAAAUUGAUGGUAUUUCAUUGUUAUGCUAUGCUGAAUGCUAAUAAGUUCCUCCCCGGACUGGCUAGAGCAUUAUGACUAGUGGUUGUUAAUUAUAAACUAUACAAGAUUUUUUUACCUUGAAAAUCGUAUUUAGGAUUGCUAUCUAUAUGGGAUACAAUUAAAACGAUGGAAGUUGGUCACAUCAAAAUCAUUCCCAUUGGAGAUGUAGAAUGGUUUCUAACCCUGGUCCUAAAUAUCCUACUUUGCCUUAUUUAAUUAGCACUCAAUCCCAUGGUAAACCAAAUUAGGCUCCAAUUCUUAUUUUGCAUGACCCAUUGUACGUCUAAAACAAUAUCUAAACGCCAAAACUGCUAAUCGGGGCUAACUUUGGGUUUGAACUAUAAGGGAAUUAUCAAUUAAGAAUGAGAUGUUGCCCUCAUCCUGAAUUAGAUUGCAUGGAAGGUUAAUUGUUGGUGGUGGCAAGGCUGAAUAUACUUUCUGCACAGACUUGGGAGAAUCCAUAAGCUUUUCUCGAUGUAAGAAUAACCUUUUAUUGGUGGAGUUGGAAGUGGGCUCUACCUUCAUGAGAACUUGGAUUGGGGUAAAUGAAAGGUCUGUUGUGUGUCCACAGACAGCAAUGCAGCACAAUACCAACACCUUUGUACUGCAGCCAUCUUUCCUAGUUGGGACGGAAUUCUUUUUUACAUAGUAGCACAUACCUCUUUGCCUUUUCUAUUUUUUCAUCCUCCUCUCUUCUUCUUUUCAUUGCCAUUAUCUGGUUUUGCGUUUGUUUUUUUCUCUUCUUUACUCAUGCCCCAAUGCUUCUCUAAGUUGACUUUCUCUAAUAGGCAUGAGAGUUUCUUCAUUGAUCUGCUUCUGCUGUGGUGAUGCUCUUGCUUUUAUCUUCUACUUUUGAACUUCAUUCCAUUUUUUCAAAGACAACAUACAGGUGUUAGUGUAGAAGAAAAGAUAAAGAAUCUAUCACUUUUAGACCUUAAUUUUCUGUAGUCUUAUGAUCAUUGAUCCAAAGUCCAAUUUCAAUCAUUUUCGGAUCAAUCUUAACAACCUUAAUCUUAAGGGUUAGAUUUUAUACUGCAGGGAUUGCCUCCCAUUUGUGUGCGAUCAUGAAAUGUCGUUUCAUGUAGCUAUGACAUGCCAUCUAUGUAGAACUAUCUAAAAAAGGAAUGUGCUUGGCAUAUCGACAUGGGAAUUGGCUCUAGGCAAUCUGUUGGGAUGCAAGAUCUCAGGCCUGGUGCUUGUGGUCUAGAAUCUAAUAUUGUGGAAUCCUCUUCGGUUUCUCACCUUCUGUUUUUGGAUUCUCUCCCAUGAUUGCCCCAAAUUUUUACUUUUUGUUCGCCUAUUCAUUUAUGAAUCGCAUUACUUCUUUUUCAUGUCUAGUUCAGGAUACAUUUGAUGACAUAUCCUUUAUGGGGAUCUUAUACUGUUUUCAAGUUUUCAAGUGGCGGGGAUCCUCUUCAUAGAGAUACCUGUAUUUGUAUUGUACCUUGCUAUUGUCCCUUUUGGUUCCUCUUUUGACAAUAUUAUCAUUCUAGAGUGACAAAUUUUCCAUGCUGUUAAUCAAAUAGUUCAAAUCAAAGUUUUAAUGGUGAUCUAGACGUAAUCAAGUCAUUGACUUGAUUGGAUAGUGACCUAUGUGUCGCAUCUUUGUCAUGAUAGGCUGCAACAGCAAUGGUGCAGCAAGCUGUGCAAUAUGUUGACCAAACACUUGAUCUUGAGACCAAGAUAAAGCUUAUUAAGACACUUAACUCUGUUGCCACUAGGAAGAUGAAUAUGUGAAAUCAAACUCUGGUAGGAACUUUUGGAGCAAAGGCAAAGACGGAGAAAAUUGCCUUUAUUUUUGAACAAGUGCGGGUAUUUUGUAUUGCUUUUAGCCAUUCAUGCAUUAUUAGUAUGAUUGGUUUUCUGAUUGAUGGAUUUUGCAGGUUUGUCUAUGUAAGGGUUAUGUCUGUGCACGUAUCAUUUCCAAGAAGGUCAACUCCCGAGUGUUUGAUGCAGAUCCUUCCAUAGAAAAGAAAAAGUCUAAAGAAGGUGAAAACAUCGUGGAGCAAGCGUCAGCUGAUAUUCCAUCUCUUCUGGAGUUGAAACGGAUAGGCGAUGACUCAUGAUAUGGUUCUAAGGAAAAUCUGCUGGUACUUAGUUCUAUCACCACAUGAUCCUAUGCAAUCAAGCCUUCUUAAUGCAACUUUAGAGGAAAAACAUCUCUCAGAAAUUCCCCAAUUCAGGUUGCUGCUGAAACAAUUGGUCACAUUGGAGGCUCUAGCGGACUCCUCUUUAAAAGAACUUUCAAAGGUGAAUUUGAGAAUGAGAAAACGUGCUAGCAGGUGCACUUGUUGGGAAUUAGACAGGGCCCAAUCAUUGUCAAAAGAAGAAUUUUGGCUUCUCUUUGGCAUAACAAGCUACCUUUCUAGGAGCCUCUUCAAAGAAUCAUUGAACAUAAUAUUAUCGUUGUUUUGAAGUAUCGCUCAAGGAUUACCUUCAAGAGACUUGCAAAGCUAUUAUGCCUCAGUAUCCAGGUCUGAUUAUGUGGAACAUUUGUUGAUGUUCUUUAUCAGUGUCACACUUUAUGAAUGAUUGCCUAGACCCCUCAUUUAACCCUAAGCAUCUUCUCUGCCUAUGAUCCCUGAUUGGGGCAUGGCUGCUGGACUUGGAUACAAGUUCCUAAUAUGUAUAAAAGAGGUUUUGGUGUGUUGAAAGCCAAAGAUUUGUCAUGGAUUCGAGAAUGUUGUCUUCAUCAUUUUGUUCUGUAAACAUUCUGGCCAACAUAUAUGUGUACUUUUUUUUUUUUUUGGCUUAAUCAACUUCUGCUCAUAAAUUUGUUGUAGCUGUAAGCAUCAUUGUCUGGCAUUGUGAAACCAUUUCUUGUCCCA